rfam:Desulfosporosinus sp. I2 contig00130, whole genome shotgun sequence.
UUGUAGCCAAACUCGGCUUUAAGCCGCUUUCAUCGCAGGGCGGAACACAAGGACGUGUUCCGCCGGCCAUGCGACACGGACGUCGCUUUGGCCGGGGACCCUGCCACUUUCAUAACGGCUUAAAGCCCUAGUUUGGCACGAC